AUGGUACAAAGUUCGUCUCUCAAGCAUCUCGGCUUCACCGUGUUCAUAUCAUGGUCAUGGAUUCACUCCAACGAAACAUGUUACACAGUUGCAAUCAAAAGCAAGCGGAAAAACAAAGGAAAAAAGGCAUGUUUUUCUCCGACUUGCCUUUUAUUGUCUUCUCCUUCUGAUUCUGCUGUUGCUUAUUUCUCGUUUGUUCUUCCUACGCUGUUUUGUAGCAGAAUUUUGCAGGUUAUGAGCAGGGACAACAUGGCUGGAUUUGGGAAAUUUAUGGGCUGA